rnacentral:piRNA from 1 species
GACCAGCAGAAACUGGAAAUGUCAGGCUC